CCUAACCCAGAACACAGAGGGCUGUGUGGCUUUUUUUCUGAUGAGUCCAUCUGUGAAGCAAUGAUUCAGUCCUGAGGGACCUACUACAUCACUUAAGUUUUGUUUGGGUUUCUUUGAAAAGCACCCCACUUCUGAUUUCCACUCAUUCGUGCCUAUGUAACUCGCUCAUUUUCGGUGUAAUUUUUCCAGGCAGAGAAAUGCCUCUGCAGAGGAUAAUACACAACAUGGCCAAAGGAUUAAACAGCCCAAGGACAGAGCACCAUUUGUAUAUUCUACUACAAGAUUUGCCCUAGUCCCAUCACUAAUAUGGAUGUGAUUAAAAAACAUCAACAACAAGAACAGAUGUAGGCAUGCUCAGUUGAAGGCUGAAAGAAGCCACAAACUAAUCACAUCUGACUUCAGCUGGGUGAUCAUUGGAGCUAGUUCGGGAUUUUGGAAGGAUUGCUUUCAGUAUUAAAUUCCAGUUCAUUAAAAGAGAAUUUUUUGCAGGAACACACACACCAGUUGUGGCAGAAAAUGUUUACAUGAGCCCAUGUUACAAGAGAGUAAGACUGACAUGUUCCUGACACAACAGCCAGGUGGUUUGGAGAAUCGCCCAAGAGCCAACAGAUCAGGGUUCAAGCUCUUCUGCACCUGAUUUAGGCUAGAGACUUGAAUUGAAUUCUCUUACAACAUAGAUAAAUGCCCUCACCACUGGCCUGGUGGUUAUUUCGUGGAAGGCAGGCAUGUUCCAUCUUAGAUGUGAGCAAAUCCUUGGAUGGGAUUUUUUAGCUAGCUGGGACUGAUUUUACACUUGGAUGAGUGACUCCCGCAAAGUGUUAGCCUGCUUAUAGUACAUGCUAGGACCAAUGGGAGUCGGGGAUGCAGGAUCUGUCCUGCGCUGCUUAGUGAGAAAGACGGGCACCUUGAAGGAUCAGUUCCUAAAAGUGCUGGGCACUUCUAAGAAGGGGAAGAAUAUUAAUUUAGGGGUCUGGCACUUCACUUUCCCCUUGAAUCAAUCCUCCCCCCACUUUUAUUGCAUUAGGGUCUUCCUUUCAUGCCUGAGCUUUGGUGGUGUUGCCCUACACUAUUAAAGAAUUGCCCUGAGCCUGGCUGUAUCUCAGUGGGAGGUAACUGUGCCAAAAGUUUCUAGAGAAGAGCUACCCUGCCUUCAGUGAUGGGCUGAUAGUCAUGCUUGGCUCUUCCUUAGUGCCCUCUGUCAAUAUUUUUAUCCUGCUUUAUUGCACAAUGAGGGUGUUUGAUUCCUGGCCAUCUGACACCUUCUGUGUCCAUGCACACCACUGAAAAGGCAUGCUUAUGAAACACCCCAGUAUCAAACCACUGCGGUCCCAGGCCCAUGUGGCAUUUAUGUCAUGGUUAGUGAUGGGUGACAUAGCCCCUUGCAUCUAAUCUAAGAGGUAAAUAGUACCUGAUCAGAAGGGGAGCAUUUUACCUCCACUUUGUGCACAGGUAAAUCCACGCAGGUUUCUAGUUUUGGGAAAGCAGGAAGCAGCCUCCCUGUGUAGAUGCUUUACCUCUCCCCUUCUUGCUUAUUAUUUGCAAAGCCUCUUGAAGCAGAAUAAAAUUCAACUCAAGUAUUCUUCCUAUGGCUCUUCCUCUGCUCAUUCUGGACCUCCAGGCUGCUGACACAAUCACGAAUGAAUCAAGAAGAAUUGGCCUGUAUUUCCCUGGCUGGUUGCUUUAUCUGGAAAUGGGGUUGGGCAAUGGGACAGUCCUACCACUUC